UACAGAGGGUGCGAGCGUUGUUCGGAAUUACUGGGCGUAAAGCGCGCGCAGGCGGCCCUUUAAGUCCGCUGGUGAAAGACCGGGGCUCAACCCCGUGUCAGCCAGGGAUACUGGAGGGCUGGAGACACGUAGAGGCAAGCGGAAUUCCGGGUGUAGCGGUGGAAUGCGUAGAGAUCCGGAAGAACACCGGAGGCGAAGGCGGCUUGCUGGGCGUGAUCUGACGCUGAGGCGCGAAAGCGUGGGGAGCGAACAGG
rnacentral:rRNA from 1 species